rnacentral:rRNA from 1 species
AGACCCGAAACCCGGUGAUCUAGCCAUGGGCAGGUUGAAGGUUGGGUAACACUAACUGGAGGACCGAACCGACUAAUGUUGAAAAAUUAGCGGAUGACCUGUGGCUGGGGGUGAAAGGCCAAUCAAACCGGGAGAUAGCUGGUUCUCCCCGAAAGCUAUUUAGGUAGCGCCUCGUGAAUUCAUCUCCGGGGGUAGAGCACUGUUUCGGCUAGGGGGCCAUCCCGGCUUACCAACCCGAUGCAAACUGCGAAUACCGGAGAAUGUUAUCACGGGAGACACACGGCGGGUGCUAACGUCCGUCGUGAAGAGGGAAACAACCCAGACCGCCAGCUAAGGUCCCAAAGUCAUGGUUAAGUGGGAAACGAUGUGGGAAGGCCCAGACAGCCAGGAUGUUGGCUUAGAAGCAGCCAUCAUUUAAAGAAAGCGUAAUAGCUCACUGGUCGAGUCGGCCUGCGCGGAAGAUGUAACGGGGCUAAACCAUGCACCGAAGCUGCGGCAGCGACACUCAGGUGUUGUUGGGUAGGGGAGCGUUCUGUAAGCCUGUGAAGGUGGCCUGUGAGGGUUGCUGGAGGUAUCAGAAGUGCGAAUGCUGACAUAAGUAACGAUAAAGCGGGUGAAAAGCCCGCUCGCCGGAAGACCAAGGGUUCCUGUCCAACGUUAAUCGGGGCAGGGUGAGUCGACCCCUAAGGCGAGGCCGAAAGGCGUAGUCGAUGGGAAACGGGUUAAUAUUCCCGUACUUGGUGUUACUGCGAAGGGGGGACGGAGAAGGCUAUGUUGG